rnacentral:rRNA from 1 species
GACCAAGGAGUCUAACCCGUACGCGAGUCGCAGGGUCUUGCACAGGCCCCGUGGCGGAGCGAAAGCGAAGCCGUGACGCCCGCUCUGCGAAGAGCAGGGCAGCAUCGGCGGCCCGGCGGAGCGGACGGUAGGUCUCCGGGGAAGGUUCUGCCCGAACCGGUCUCCUCCGUCCAGCGUCGGAGUCGGAGCGCACGAGUUGGUACCCGAAAGAUGGUGAACUAUGCCUGGCCAGGGCGAAGCCGGAGGAAACUCCGGUGGAGGCCCGAAGCGGUUCUGACGUGCAAAUCGAUCGUCGGAGCGGAGUAUAGGGGCGAAAGACUAAUCGAACCAUCUAGUAGCUGGUUCCCUCCGAAGUUUCCCUCAGGAUAGCUGGCAUUCGGAGAAACUCAGUCUCUCCUCGUAGAGAGAAUGAAUAGAGGCCCUGGGGCCCUAGACGACCUCAACCUAUUAUCAAACUACUACGAGGUGCGUCGCGGGUUACCUGCCGAUAACGAGAGGAACCCGGAAGUCGAUGUAGAGUGCCGUGUGGGCCAUUUUUG